rnacentral:rRNA from 1 species
CAAUAGCGUAUAUUAAAGUUGUUGCGGUUAAAAAGCUCGUAGUUGGAGUUCUGCCAGGUGACACUCGUCCGCCCAAGUGGUGUGUACAGGGUGUGCAUCUGGCCCUUUCAAGGGGAACGUGUCUGCACUUCAUUGUGUGGUGCGAGAUCCUUGACUUUUACUUUGAGGAAAUAAGAGUGUUCCAAGCAGGCUCUCGUCGUGCAUAGCUCAGCAUGGAAUAAUAGCAUUGGACUUCGUUUCUACGCUGUUGGUUGCAAGAAGCGAGGUAAUGAUGAAGAGGGAUAGUUGGGGGCAUUCGUAUUUAACUGUCAGAGGUGAAAUUCUUGGAUUUGUUAAAGACGGACUACUGCGAGAGCAUCUGCCAUGGAUGUUUUCAUUGA